rnacentral:rRNA from 1 species
UACGGAGGGUGCAAACGUUGCUCGGAAUUAUUGGGCGUAAAGCGCACGUAGGCGGCCGACUAAGUCGGGUGUGAAAGCCCUGGGCUCAACCCAGGAAGUGCACUCGAAACUGGUCGGCUUGAAUAUGGAAGAGGGUCGCGGAAUUCCCGGUGUAGAGGUGAAAUUCGUAGAUAUCGGGAGGAACACCGGUGGCGAAGGCGGCGUCCUGGACCAACACUGACACUGAGGAGCGAAAGCCAGGGGAGCAAACGGG